UGCACCGCAGCGCCGCGCUGUGGUCACUGUUGGUAACUGCAGCGCCGCCGCUGUCCGUGACCAGCACCGUGUAGGGCAGCCCCUGCGCGUCGAUGAGCAGGCACCUAUAGAGCGCUCCCUUCGCCAUCGCUCCCUGCGCCUCUUCACGCACGGGCGGCGGCCGCCGGGAGGAUGCGGAGCGGGUCAAAAAGGACGAGGAGACCUUUGAGGUCUCGCUCCCCUUCGAGGAGCCCCCCCCGGUGGAGCCCCCCCUGUUCUACAGCAUCAGCCCCCCCCCGGGCGCCUAUGAAGACCCCCCCGGCCCGCGGGUGCAGCUGAGCCUGGCCCUGGAGCGCAAUUCCUGGCUCCAGAAGCGGAUCCAGGACCUGGAGGAGGAGCGGGAUUUCCUGCGCAGGCAGCUCCAGGGAUUCAUCUGGGGCAGCCGUGAGUGAG